AGCAGCCGCGGUAAUUCCAGCUCCAAUAGCGUAUAUUAAAGUUGUUGCAGUUAAAAAGCUCGUAGUUGAAUUUCGGGGUUAGUAGGUUGGUCAUGCCUCUGGUAUGUACUGGUCUCACUGAUUCCUCCUUCCUGAUGAACCUUAAUGCCAUUAAUUUGGUGUUUUGGGGAAUUUGGACUGUUACUUUGAAAAAAUUAGAGUGUUUAAAGCAAGCUAACGCUUGAAUACAUUAGCAUGGAAUAAUGAAAUAGGACGUUCGAUCCUAUUUUGUUGGUUUCUAGGAUUGACGUAAUGAUUAAUAGGGAUAGUUGGGGGCAUUAGUAUUCAAUUGUCAGAGGUGAAAUUCUUGGAUUUAUUGAAGACUAACUACUGCGAAAGCAUUUGCCAAGGAUGUUUUCAUUAAUCAAGAACGAAAGUUAGGGGAUCGAAGACGAUCAGAUACCGUCGUAGUCUUAACCAUAAACUAUGCCGACUAGGGAUCGGAUGAUGUUAACUUUUUAAUGACUCAUUCGGCGCCUUACG
rnacentral:rRNA from 1 species